UACGUAGGGACCGAGCGUUGUCCGGAUUCAUUGGGCGUAAAGAGCUCGUAGGCGGCCACUCAAGUCGAAUGUGAAACCUCGAGGCUUAACCUCGAGCCUGCAUUCGAUACUGGGUGGCUAGAGUCUGGUAGGGGGAUCUGGAAUUCCUGGUGUAGCGGUGGAAUGCGCAGAUAUCCGGAGGAACACCAGCGGCGAAGGCGGCAUCCUGGACUGGUCCUGACACUCAGGAGCGAAAGCGUGGGGAGCGAUCCGG
rnacentral:rRNA from 1 species